CCUACGGGAGGCAGCAGUGAGGAAUAUUGGUCAAUGGCCGAGAGGCUGAACCAGCCAAGUCGCGUGAGGGACGACGGCCCCACGCGUUGUAAACCUCUUUUGUCAGGGGACAAAGCGAGUCACGUGUGCCUCAUCGAGGGUACCCAAAGAAAAAGCAUCGGCUAACUCCGUGCCAGCAGCCGCGGUAAUACGGAGGAUGCGAGCGUUAUCCGGAUUUAUUGGGUUUAAAGGGUGCGCAGGCGGAGGGUCAAGUCAGCGGUAAAAUCCCGGGGCUCAACCCCGGACAGCCGUUGAAACUGCAUGUCUUGAGAGGGCGAGAGGUAUGCGGAAUGCGCGGUGUAGCGGUGAAAUGCAUAGAUAUCGCGCAGAACUCCGAUUGCGAAGGCAGCAUACCGGCGCGCAACUGACGCUCAUGCACGAAAGCGUGGGUAUCGAACAGGAUUAGAUACCCGUGUAGUC
rnacentral:rRNA from 1 species